AGGAGCACGAAGGUUGGCUAAUCCUGGUCGGACAUCAGGAGGUUAGUGCAAUGGCAUAAGCCAGCUUGACUGCGAGCGUGACGGCGCGAGCAGGUGCGAAAGCAGGUCAUAGUGAUCCGGUGGUUCUGAAUGGAAGGGCCAUCGCUCAACGGAUAAAAGGUACUCCGGGGAUAACAGGCUGAUACCGCCCAAGAGUUCAUAUCGACGGCGGUGUUUGGCACCUCGA
rnacentral:rRNA from 1 species